rnacentral:tRNA from 1 species
UCCCAUAGCUCAGUCGGGUAGAGCAUGAGACUCUUAAACUCAGGGUUUGGGGUUCAAGCCCCACGUUGGGCAAAA